rnacentral:lncRNA from 1 species
CCCAUGGAGAAAAAAAAAAUGGCUCCACACUUUUGUGUUUCUUCACGCAGCAACGUGAUCGGCGUGUUUUCGAUGAUCUCGACGCUCAGCAAGAUCCAUUGUGCAGUGUUAAGUUCAGAAAUGUUUUCCUCAUCGUGUGCAGCACUGAAUUCUCUUGUGCGCUUCGUCGUUUCCGCCCGCUGGAUAUCGACGAUUUUGACAAAGAACUCUACGAAGUCUUGCGGGCUGGCGAGGAAAACGGCAGCACCCACUUACUGCACAUGAGCCAAACUGAGGAAGGGAUGGAGGAGGCGUGAGUCGAACAACAACCGACGUGUGCAGCGGAAACUCGGCGAUGCUCAACUGGGACCGGGAUCACGAAAAAACACCUUUACCUCGAGGCGAAAAAGUGUCCCCUGCAGGACCUCCAGAAGAAACACCAGUCCCCGCAACGGUACCUUGCACAAGAAUGUGCCAACCUGCACUAUUAAUACAGCUAGGUUUUCAUGGACAUUUUCAUUAAUUUUAUUGCCC